CUGAGGAGUAGACUUGCUGCAUUAUUUUCUUUUUAUUUAGAUGAUAUUAAAACUCAGAAGAAUUAAUUUUGACAUUUUGUAUUUACAGUUUAUCAGUUAAUUUUCUCUGUUCAAGUAGUACAGUAGGCACAGAUUAACAUUUAAAUUUUUCACAUAUGGUAUAUUUCAGAAAUUUGAAGUUAAGCAAAAAUUUUAAUGAGUAGAGAAAGUAAGUAGCCUUCAGGAAAUCUUCAUAGAGGACCAGGCCCUUUUGGAAUUGUGAAUAGGUUUAUUGCCUUACAUCCUGGUACACAUGUCCAAGGUCAGGUCCUGGGUGGUAAAGGUAAAUACAAAUUGGAAGGGCACUGUGUGAGCCAAAAUGAGUCAGAUUAGUCAUGAUUCAUUUCCAGUUUGGGUUUUGGGUGGUCUUGGAGAAUGUUGUAAGCACUGCUUCAUUGAUAGGUUGAUUGAGCCAGACUUUACUCAGCAGCCUGGAAAAGGAGAGAUGGGCUCUGGGUUCUACCUUUGCUCACUGGUUUCUCUUUCUGUGAUGCAGAGACUCUCAGCUGUUCCUCCUCUAUGUCUACAUUAUGUCUGAAGGAAAGAAUUUAACAAAACUUGAAAUACUGCUGUUUUUCUACAAUGUUUGUAAAUAUUUAUCUUGCUGCUUUUCUAGGUUUGUCUUCUGGAUUUAAAAUUUGGGGCGGCUGGGGUGGAAUUGCAUGGUUUGGGAAUGGGUAAUUGAGCUGCUGCUCAUUAUGGUAUGUAACAGUGAUUUGUCUGUUUAAUAUGUACAAGAACUGGAAGGUCAAUAAAAUGAAAGUGGUUGUCUUGACUGGGUAA
rnacentral:lncRNA from 1 species